AUUGAACGCUGGCGGCAGGCCUAACACAUGCAAGUCGAGCGGAUGAAGGGAGCUUGCUCCUGGAUUCAGCGGCGGACGGGUGAGUAAUGCCUAGGAAUCUGCCUGGUAGUGGGGGAUAACGUCCGGAAACGGGCGCUAAUACCGCAUACGUCCUGAGGGAGAAAGUGGGGGAUCUUCGGACCUCACGCUAUCAGAUGAGCCUAGGUCGGAUUAGCUAGUUGGUGGGGUAAAGGCCUACCAAGGCGACGAUCCGUAACUGGUCUGAGAGGAUGAUCAGUCACACUGGAACUGAGACACGGUCCAGACUCCUACGGGAGGCAGCAGUGGGGAAUAUUGGACAAUGGGCGGAAGCCUGAUCCAGCCAUGCCGCGUGUGUGAAGGAGGUCUUCGGAUUGUAAAGCACUUUAAGUUGGGAGGAAGGGCAGUAAGUUAAUACCUUGCUGUUUUGACGUUACCAACAGAAUAAGCACCGGCUAACUUCGUG
rnacentral:rRNA from 1 species